CUAAUACCGGAAUAAAGCUACUUUCGCAUAGAAAGUAAAGUUUAAAAGGCGGCGUAAGCUGUCGCUAAAGGAUGGACCUGCGAUGCAUUAGCUAGUUGGUAAGGUAACGGCUUACCAAGGCGAUGAUGCAUAGCCGAGUUGAGAGACUGAUCGGCCACAUUGGGACUGAGACACGGCCCAAACUCCUACGGGAGGCAGCAGCG
rnacentral:rRNA from 1 species